rnacentral:rRNA from 1 species
GACGAACGCUGGAGGCGUGCUUAACACAUGCAAGACGAACGAUGAAAUGGAGCUUGCUCCAUGGAUUAGUGGCGAACGGGUGAGUAAUACGUGAAUAACCUGCCCUUAAUUUUGGAAUAACCCAGGGAAACCUGGGCUAAUACCGGAUAAGUAAACCUGUGGCAUCACAUGGUUUUGGAAAGUCUUUCGAUUAAGGAUGGAUUCGCGGCCUAUCAGCUUGUUGGUGAGGUAAUGGCUCACCAAGGCGACGACGGGUAGCCGGCCUGAGAGGGUGAACGGCCACACUGGGACUGAGACACGGCCCAGACUCCUACGGGAGGCAGCAGUGGGGAAUAUUGCGCAAUGGACGAAAGUCUGACGCAGCGACGCCUCGUGAGGGACGAAGGUCUUCGGAUUGUAAACCUCUUUCAGCAGGGACGAAGCGAAAGUGACGGUACCUGCAGAAGAAGCACCGGCUAACUAUGUGCCAGCCGCCGCAGUAA